UACGUAGGGGGCAAGCGUUGUCCGGAUUUAUUGGGCGUAAAGAGCGUGUAGGCGGUUUGGUAGGUCCGCUGUGAAAACUCGAGGCUCAACCUCGAGACGCCGGUGGAAACCAUCAGGCUAGAGUUCGGAAGAGGAGAGUGGAAUUCCUGGUGUAGCGGUGAAAUGCGCAGAUAUCAGGAAGAACACCCGUGGCUAAGGCGGCUCUCUAGUACGGUACUGACGCUGAGACGCGAAAGCGUGGGGAGCGAACAGG
rnacentral:rRNA from 1 species